rnacentral:tRNA from 1 species
GCUUUUGUAGUUUAACAGAAAACAUUGGUCUUGUAAACCAAAAAUGAGAUUUUAUUUCAAAAGCU